rnacentral:rRNA from 1 species
UACGUAGGUGGCAAGCGUUGUCCGGAUUUACUGGGCGUAAAGAGCGCGCAGGCGGUUGUUUAAGUCGCGUGUGAAAGCCCCCGGCUCAACUGGGGAGGGUCACGCGAUACUGAUCGACUGGAAGGCAGGAGAGGGUAGUGGAAUUCCCGGUGUAGUGGUGAAAUGCGUAGAUAUCGGGAGGAACACCAGUGGCGAAGGCGGCUUUCUGGGCCUUACCUGACGCUGAGACGCGAAAGCCGUGGGGAGCGAACGGG